rnacentral:rRNA from 1 species
AUGAACGCUGGCGGCGUGCUUAACACAUGCAAGUCGAACGAUUAAGACGGCUUCGGCCGUGUAUAGAGUGGCGAACGGGUGAGUAACACGUGACCAACCUGCCCCGCGCUCCGGGACAACCGCUGGAAACGGCGGCUAAUACCGGAUGCUCCGGGGAGGCCCCAUGGCCUCCCCGGGAAAGCCUUAACGGCGCGGGAUGGGGUCGCGGCCCAUUAGGUAGACGGCGGGGUAACGGCCCACCGUGCCCGCGAUGGGUAGCCGGACUGAGAGGUCGACCGGCCACAUUGGGACUGAGAUACGGCCCAGACUCCUACGGGAGGCAGCAGUGGGGAAUUUUGCGCAAUGGGGGAAACCCUGACGCAGCAACGCCGCGUGCGGGACGAAGGCCUUCGGGUUGUAAACCGCUUUCAGCAGGGAAGACAUAGACGGUACCUGCAGAAGAAGCUCCGGCUAACUACGUGCCAGCAGCCGCGGUAAUACGUAGGGGGCGAGCGUUAUCCGGAUUCAUUGGGCGUAAAGCGCGCGUAGGCGGCCGCCUAAGCGGAACCUCUAAUCCCGGGGCUCAACCUCGGGCCGGGUUCCGGACUGGGCGGCUCGAGUGCGGUAGAGGCAGGCGGAAUUCCCGGUGUAGCGGUGGAAUGCGCAGAUAUCGGGAAGAACACCGAUGGCGAAGGCAGCCUGCUGGGCCGCCACUGACGCUGAGGCGCGAAAGCUGGGGGAGCGAACAGGAUUAGAUACCCUGGUAGUCCACACCGUAAACGAUGGAUACUAGGUGUAGGGAACGAUAUGUUUUCUGUGCCGAAAGCAAACGCAAUAAGUAUCCCACCUGGGGAGUACGGCCGCAAGGUUGAAACUCAAAGGAAUUGACGGGGGCCCGCACAAGCAGUGGAGUAUGUGGUUUAAUUCGAAGCAACGCGAAGAACCUUACCAGGUCUUGACAUUGAUCGCGAUCUGCAGAAAUGCGGAGUUCUUCUUCGGAAGACGAGAAAACAGGUGGUGCACGGCUGUCGUCAGCUCGUGUCGUGAGAUGUUGGGUUAAGUCCCGCAACGAGCGCAACCCCCGUCCCGUGUUGCCAGCAUUGAGUUGGGGACUCGCGGGAGACUGCCGGCGUCAAGCCGGAGGAAGGUGGGGACGACGUCAAGUCAUCAUGCCCCUUAUGCCCUGGGCUGCACACGUGCUACAAUGGCCGGUACAGAGGGUUGCCACCCCGCGAGGGGGAGCGGAUCCCGGAAAGCCGGUCCCAGUUCGGAUCGCAGGCUGCAACCCGCCUGCGUGAAGUCGGAGUUGCUAGUAAUCGCGGAUCAGCAUGCCGCGGUGAAUACGUUCCCGGGCCUUGUACACACCGCCCGUCACACCACCCGAGUCGUCUGCACCCGAAGCCGCCGGCCGAACCCUUCUGGGGCGGAGGCGUCGAAGGUGUGGAGGGUAAGGGGGGUG